rnacentral:rRNA from 1 species
AAUAGAUACCGGGUAGUCCACGCCGUAAACGAUGAGUGCUAAGUGUUAGAGGGUUUCCGCCCUUUAGUGCUGCAGCUAACGCAUUAAGCACUCCGCCUGGGGAGUACGGCCGCAAGGCUGAAACUCAAAGGAAUUGACGGGGGCCCGCACAAGCGGUGGAGCAUGUGGUUUAAUUCGAAGCAACGCGAAGAACCUUACCAGGUCUUGACAUCCUCUGCCAACCCUAGAGAUAGGGUCGUUCCCCUUCGGGGGACAGAGUGACAGGUGGUGCAUGGUUGUCGUCAGCUCGUGUCGUGAGAUGUUGGGUUAAGUCCCGCAACGAGCGCAACCCUUGAUCUUAGUUGCCAGCAUUCAGUUGGGCACUCUAAGGUGACUGCCGGUGACAAACCGGAGGAAGGUGGGGAUGACGUCAAAUCAUCAUGCCCCUUAUGACCUGGGCUACACACGUGCUACAAUGGAUGGUACAAAGGGCUGCGAACCCGCGAGGGUAAGCGAAUCUCAUAAAGCCAUUCUCAGUUCGGA